AGGAAAUUACCCUUCCCUCCACAAACUGUUUGCUAAGUCAGAAGAGGGUGUGGUAAUGAGAGCAAUAAACCAUGGGAGCUCAUCUGUGCACCUGCUGCAAUCUCCCCUCUCUCUGCUGGUACAGGAAGCCUGAUUUAAGGGCUUGAUUUAUGCCACCUUUCUGCACUGUGGACUGCUUGUGCACUCUCCUUGAAGCAAUCUGAGCAGAAUGUUAUAUGAAAAGGAGAGACUGCAUCGUAUUUCUGCCAUGCUGCUUGUCAGACAGAUCCAAAAAGCAAACUCUGGUGCUCUGAAGUAUCUGACGGAUUUGCAUGGGACCAACAUACGUGAUGUGUAGGAGCUCUGACCACUUCUGGUGCGACAUCUCUGUUUGGACAACUCAAUCCACUAUUACGAUGAAAUGAACCUGAAAAAUCUCUCUUCUUUCAUUCAGAAGAUGAUCCUCAGCUCCCUCGUGCCCUCCUGGUGGCCAGGGCACUGAGUGCAAAAUCAAGAGUGCAAAAUAAAAACUGCUGUUUUCUCUUUU